AUGGAUUCUCCCACUUAUAUAUGUUUAAGUCUCCAUAUUUCUAUCCAAUGUAGGACUAUUUCCCCACUUACUCACAUUUGCUAUAUUAUUCCAACACUCCCCUUCAAGUGUGAGUCCACAAUGCUCCAUUUCUAUAACUUGGCUCCGAUACCAUGGCGUUUAUGUUCAGUAGACUUCGGAAGGUAA